rnacentral:rRNA from 1 species
GACGAACGCUGGCGGCGUGCUUAACACAUGCAAGUCGAACGGAAAGGCCCUGCUUUUGUGGGGUGCUCGAGUGGCGAACGGGUGAGUAACACGUGAGUAACCUGCCCUUGACUUUGGGAUAACUUCAGGAAACUGGGGCUAAUACCGGAUAGGAGCUCCUGCUGCAUGGUGGGGGUUGGAAAGUUUCGGCGGUUGGGGAUGGACUCGCGGCUUAUCAGCUUGUUGGUGGGGUAGUGGCUUACCAAGGCUUUGACGGGUAGCCGGCCUGAGAGGGUGACCGGCCACAUUGGGACUGAGAUACGGCCCAGACUCCUACGGGAGGCAGCAGUGGGGAAUAUUGCACAAUGGGCGGAAGCCUGAUGCAGCAACGCCGCGUGCGGGAUGACGGCCUUCGGGUUGUAAACCGCUUUCGCCUGUGACGAAGCGUGAGUGACGGUAAUGGGUAAAGAAGCACCGGCUAACUACGUGCCAGCAGCCGCGGUGAUACGUAGGGUGCGAGCGUUGUCCGGAUUUAUUGGGCGUAAAGGGCUCGUAGGUGGUUGAUCGCGUCGGAAGUGUAAUCUUGGGGCUUAACCCUGAGCGUGCUUUCGAUACGGGUUGACUUGAGGAAGGUAGGGGAGGAUGGAAUUCCUGGUGGAGCGGUGGAAUGCGCAGAUAUCAGGAGGAACACCAGUGGCGAAGGCGGUUCUCUGGGCCUUUCCUGACGCUGAGGAGCGAAAGCGUGGGGAGCGAACAGGCUUAGAUACCCUGGUAGUCCACGCUGUAAACGGUGGGUACUAGGUGUGGGGUCCAUUCCACGGGUUCCGUGCCGUAGCUAACGCUUUAAGUACCCCGCCUGGGGAGUACGGCCGCAAGGCUAAAACUCAAAGGAAUUGACGGGGCCCCGCACAAGCGGCGGAGCAUGCGGAUUAAUUCGAUGCAACGCGUAGAACCUUACCUGGGUUUGACAUGGAUCGGGAGUGCUCAGAGAUGGGUGUGCCUCUUUUGGGGUCGGUUCACAGGUGGUGCAUGGCUGUCGUCAGCUCGUGUCGUGAGAUGUUGGGUUAAGUCCCGCAACGAGCGCAACCCUUGUUCACUGUUGCCAGCACGUUAUGGUGGGGACUCAGUGGAGACCGCCGGGGUCAACUCGGAGGAAGGUGGGGAUGACGUCAAGUCAUCAUGCCCCUUAUGUCCAGGGCUUCACGCAUGCUACAAUGGCUGGUACAGAGAGUGGCGAGCCUGUGAGGGUGAGCGAAUCUCGGAAAGCCGGUCUCAGUUCGGAUUGGGGUCUGCAACCCGACCUCAUGAAGUCGGAGUCGCUAGUAAUCGCAGAUCAGCAACGCUGCGGUGAAUACGUUCCCGGGGCU